rnacentral:rRNA from 1 species
GAUGAACGCUGGCGGCGUGCCUAAUACAUGCAAGUCGAGCGAACGGACGCGAAGCUUGCUUCUCUGAUGUUAGCGGCGGACGGGUGAGUAACACGUGGAUACCCUACCUAUAAGACUGGGAUCACUUCGGGAAACCGGAGCUAAUACCGGAUGAUAUUUUGAACCGCAUGGUUCAAAAGUGAAAGACGGUCUUGCUGUCACUUAUAGAUGGAUCCGCGCUGCAUUAGCUAGUUGGUAAGGUAACGGCUUAUCAAGGCAACGAUGCAUAGCCGACCUGAGAGGGUGGUAGGCGACACGGGAACUGAGACGGGGUCCAGACUCCUACGGGAGGCAGCAGUAGGGAAUCUUACGCAAUGGGCGAAAGCCUGACGGAGCAACGCCGCGUGAGUGAUGAAGGUCUUCGGAUCGUGAAACUCUGUUAUUAGGGAAGAACAGAUGUGUAAGGAACUGUACACAUCUUGACGGUACCUAAUCAGAAAGCCACGGCUAACUACGUG